UUGAACGCUGGCGGCAGGCCUAACACAUGCAAGUCGAGCGGUAGCACAGAGAGCUUGCUCUCGGGUGACGAGCGGCGGACGGGUGAGUAAUGUCUGGGAAACUGCCUGAUGGAGGGGGAUAACUACUGGAAACGGUAGCUAAUACCGCAUAACGUCGCAAGACCAAAGUGGGGGACCUUCGGGCCUCAUGCCAUCAGAUGUGCCCAGAUGGGAUUAGCUAGUAGGUGGGGUAAUGGCUCACCUAGGCGACGAUCCCUAGCUGGUCUGAGAGGAUGACCAGCCACACUGGAACUGAGACACGGUCCAGACUCCUACGGGAGGCAGCAGUGGGGAAUAUUGCACAAUGGGCGCAAGCCUGAUGCAGCCAUGCCGCGUGUGUGAAGAAGGCCUUCGGGUUGUAAAGCACUUUCAGCGGGGAGGAAGGCGAUAAGGUUAAUAACCUUGUCGAUUGACGUUACCCGCAGAAGAAGCACCGGCUAACUCCGUGCCAGCAGCCGCGGUAAUACGGAGGGUGCAAGCGUUAAUCGGAAUUACUGGGCGUAAAGCGCACGCAGGCGGUCUGUCAAGUCGGAUGUGAAAUCCCCGGGCUCAACCUGGGAACUGCAUUCGAAACUGGCAGGCUAGAGUCUUGUAGAGGGGGGUAGAAUUCCAGGUGUAGCGGUGAAAUGCGUAGAGAUCUGGAGGAAUACCGGUGGCGAAGGCGGCCCCCUGGACAAAGACUGACGCUCAGGUGCGAAAGCGUGGGGAGCAAACAGGAUUAGAUACCCUGGUAGUCCACGCCGUAAACGAUGUCGAUUUGGAGGUUGUGCCCUUGAGGCGUGGCUUCCGGAGCUAACGCGUUAAAUCGACCGCCUGGGGAGUACGGCCGCAAGGUUAAAACUCAAAUGAAUUGACGGGGGCCCGCACAAGCGGUGGAGCAUGUGGUUUAAUUCGAUGCAACGCGAAGAACCUUACCUGGUCUUGACAUCCACAGAACUUUCCAGAGAUGGAUUGGUGCCUUCGGGAACUGUGAGACAGGUGCUGCAUGGCUGUCGUCAGCUCGUGUUGUGAAAUGUUGGGUUAAGUCCCGCAACGAGCGCAACCCUUAUCCUUUGUUGCCAGCGGUUAGGCCGGGAACUCAAAGGAGACUGCCAGUGAUAAACUAGAGGAAGGUGGGGAUGACGUCAAGUCAUCAUGGCCCUUACGACCAGGGCUACACACGUGCUGCAAUGGCAUAUACAAAGAGAAGCGACCUCGCGAGAGCAAGCGGACCUCAUAAAGUAUGUCGUAGUCCGGAUUGGAGUCUGCAACUCGACUCCAUGAAGUCGGAAUCGCUAGUAAUCGUAGAUCAGAAUGCUACGGUGAAUACGUUCCCGGGCCUUGUACACACCGCCCGUCACACCAUGGGAGUGGGUUGCAAAAGAAGUAGGUAGCUUAACCUUCGGGAGGGCGCUUACCACUUUGUGAUUCAUGACUGGGGUG
rnacentral:rRNA from 1 species